rnacentral:rRNA from 1 species
AGAGUUUGAUCAUGGCUCAGGAUGAACGCUGGCGGCGUGCCUAAUACAUGCAAGUCGGACGGUUCUCGCAAGAGGAUAGUGGCGAACGGGUGAGUAACGCGUUGGUGACCUGCCCCUUAGAGAGGGAUAACAGAUCGAAAGGUCUGCUAAUACCGAAUAAGAUCAUAGGGAUUAGAAGCCUAUGAUGAAAGCCGAAAGGCGCUGAGGGAGGGACCUGCGUCCCAUCAGCUAGUUGGUGAGGUAACGGCCCACCAAGGCGAUGACGGGUAGGGGACCUGAGAGGGUGACCCCCCACAAUGGAACUGAAACACGGUCCAUACACCUACGGGUGGCAGCAGUAGGGAAUAUUGGGAAUGGGCGCAAGCCUGACCCAGCAACGCCGCGUGAGUGAUGAAGGCCUUCGGGUUGUAAAACUCUUUUCACCGGGAAGAGGAAGGACGGUACCGGUGGAAUAAGUCUCGGCUAACUACGUGCCAGCAGCCGCGGUAACACGUAGGAGACGAGCGUUAUCCGGAUUUACUGGGUGUAAAGCGCGUGCAGGCGGUCUGGUAAGUUGGAUGUGAAAGCUCCUGGCUUAACUGGGAGAGGUCGUUCAAAACUGCUGGACUAGAGGAUGGCAGAGGGGAGUGGAAUUCCGAGUGUAGCGGUAAAAUGCAUAGAUAUUCGGAAGAACACCAGUGGCGAAGGCGGCUCUCUGGGCCAUUACUGACGCUCAUACGCGAAAGCUAGGGUAGCAAACGGGAUUAGAUACCCUAGUAGUCC